rnacentral:rRNA from 1 species
UACAGAGGUCUCAAGCGUUGUUCGGAAUUACUGGGCGUAAAGGGCGCGUAGGCGGCCCGAUCAGUCAGAUGUGAAAGCCCCGGGCUCAACCUGGGAACUGCAUUUGAUACUGUCGGGCUUGAGUUCCGGAGAGGAUGGUGGAAUUCCCAGUGUAGAGGUGAAAUUCGUAGAUAUUGGGAAGAACACCGGUGGCGAAGGCGGCCAUCUGGACGGACACUGACGCUGAGGCGCGAAAGCGUGGGGAGCAAACAGG